rnacentral:tRNA from 1 species
GCCGUUGUAGCUCAGGGGUAGAGCGUUUCCUUGGUAAGGAAGAGGUCAUGAGUUCAAAUCUCAUCAAUGGCUCAA